UUAAUACAGACCAAGAACCACACCAGGCUUUUUUCUUCUUUUUUGCAUUAACUGACAACGAAGUGGAACUGUUACUGAAAGUAACACGAGAGUACGAGAGACGGCGACGGAAAACAGACUGGGAGUUGUCGCAAAAUGUUAACCUUGUAGCACAGUUUCCUCAGGUUGGAGAGACGCACAGAGAGAAGAAGCAAUGCAGAGCUCAAUACCUCCACCCUCAGUUUACCCUUGAGUACCCUGUAAGGUAAGAAAACGCCUGUAUUCAUAUCCUAUUUUGAAGUCACAGAACACCAGACCAGAGGGUGUUGGAGAUAAAGGGGGAGACAUUAUCUAAACUUGUACAAAGGUUGAUGUGGAAGCAUUGUAGCCUCACAUAGUUUUAAAGGGAGGAAAAUAGAGGUUUUAGAUAAUCUGAGUUUUAAUAUUGAUGUCACAAACUAACAAAUUAACAUCUUACGUAGAAUUUUGCAGUGUUAAUGAGUGCUGAUUUUUCAGUGACAAUUACAUGGAGUUGACAAGUUGACUGGAGUGUUGUUUGUUCCCUCAUAGAGUUGAUGUGUGGCUCUGGGGCAAAUGUUCAAAACUAGAUGAAGGUCUUAAAAACUGUAGGUGUAUGUUGUAGAUUCAACUAUAUAUUCACAUUUAACACUGUUUGUUUUCAGUUGUUUCAUUUGUUUGUCACUUGAUAAAAUGAAGUUCAACUGAUGAGUUAGAAGUAUAGGCUAUGAACAUGACAAUGACUUUGAUUUCUCCCCAAAGCUUCCUGAAACUACUUGAAACCUCAAAAGGAUAUCUUGACACACACUUGUCACAUUGUAGAAAAAAAGUUUUUAAAAACGGUCUAGCUAUUAGGGUUGGGCCGAUUGACGAUGGCUGACAGACAUCACGAGAGCCGGCAUCGUGAAAAAUUAUUUCACAUUAUACCACUCUGUGAAA